UGGGUGUUAGGUCCUCCUCAUAGCUGGAGCAGAGGGAGGGUUUUGGGGGUAGAUGAGCAGGUCCUCCUUAUAGCUGGAGCAGAGGGAGGGUUUUGUUAACAGGGGGUAGAUGAGCAGGUCCUCCUCAUAGCUGGAGCAGAGGGAGGGUUUUGUUAACAGGGGGGUAGAUGAGCAGGUCCUCCUCAUAGCUGGAGCAGAGGGAGGGUUUUGGGGGUAGAUGAGCAGGUCCUCCUCAUAGCUGGAGCAGAGGGAGGGUUUUGUUAACAGGGGGGUAGAUGAGCAGGUCCUCCUCAUAGCUGGAGCAGAGGGAGGGUUUUGUUAACAGGGGGUAGAUGAACAGGUCCUCAUAGCUAGAGCAGAGGGAGGGUUUUGUUAACAGGGGGGUAGAUGAGCAGGUCCUCAUAGCUGGAGCAGAGGGAGGGUUUCGUUAACGAGGUAGAUGAGUAGGUCCAGUGGCAGGCAGGUAGGACUGUUCCCUCUCCAUUCAAGGCGUCCCGUCGGCGCCUCGCAGUCCCCGCUGUCUUGACUGCCUUGUACAAGAUCAAGUUCAUUGCUACGUUCCCACUAACUCAGUAAUGUCAGCCCGCACAAAUCUUCAGAGGAAUCGUCAGACUGAGCAAUGAAUUCAUCCCUGCCAGCUCGCCAUCCAUUGCAGUCCUCCUCAGGGGUCAGGAGACCAUAAAAAACAAAAAUAUGGUGGCGUAUUCAAAUCAAAACACACUAGCUAACUAGCGUGCUAGCAUUGUUAGCUAGCUAUGUUGAAAGAGCUGAUUUUCCAUCAAAUUCACAGGUAGGAAACACAUUGAUUUUACCCAGACUCAGUCUAUACUCAUUGAGCUAUUCAAAACCAAAAAUCAAGUCAAAAUAUUCAAACCAAAAAAAAAC
rnacentral:lncRNA from 1 species